rnacentral:tRNA from 1 species
GCCUGGGUGGCUCAGUCAGUUAAGCGUCUGACUUCAGCUCAGGUCAUGAUCUCGUGGUUUGUGGGUUCGAGCCCCAUGUUGGGCU